rnacentral:rRNA from 1 species
AAUGAACGCCGGCGGCGUGCCUUACACAUGCAAGUCGAGCGAGGCCGGGUAGCAAUACCCGAGUCGAGCGGCGAACGGGUGAGUAACACGUGGAUUAUCUGCCCUGAGGUGGGGAUAACCCGGGAAACUCGGGCUAAUACCGCAUAUGACCGUGAGGUCAAAGGGGGUCGGCAAGAUCUCUCGCCUUUGGUAGGAGUCCGCGUCCGAUUAG